AAAGGAAUAGACGGGGGCCCGCACAAGCGGUGGAGCAUGUGGCUUAAUUCGAGGCAACGCGAAGAACCUUACCUGGGCUUGAAAUAUAAGUGCCAGUCUAUGAAAGUAGAUCUCUCUUCGGAGCGCUUAUACAGGUGCUGCAUGGCUGUCGUCAGCUCGUGUCGUGAGAUGUUCGGUUAAGUCCGGCAACGAGCGCAACCCGUGUCAUCAGUUGCCAGCAGGUAAAGCUGGGGACUCUGGUGAGACUGCCCGUGUUAAGCGGGAGGAAGGCGCGGAUGACGUCAAGUCAGUAUGGCCCUUACGCCCAGGGCUGCACACGUGCUACAAUGGGGGGUACAAUGAGACGCAAAAUCGCGAGAUGGAGCAAAUCUACAAAACCUCUCUUAGUUCGGAUUGUAGUCUGCAACUCGACUACAUGAAGUUGGAAUCGCUAGUAAAGGCGUAUCAGCUACGACGCCUUGAAUACGUUCCCGGGCCUUGUACACACCGCCCGU
rnacentral:rRNA from 1 species